rnacentral:rRNA from 1 species
GCUGCUGGGGCUCAUGGAGUUUCGGUGGCGCAGCUAACGCGUUAAGUAAUCCGCCUGGGGAGUACGGUCGCAAGAUUAAAACUCAAAGGAAUUGACGGGGGCCUGCACAAGCGGUGGAGCAUGUGGUUNAAUUCGAAGCAACGCGCAGAACCUUACCAACGUUUGACAUCCUCAUCGCGAUUUCCAGAGAUGGAUUUCUUCAGUUCGGCUGGAUGAGUGACAGGUGCUGCAUGGCUGUCGUCAGCUCGUGUCGUGAGAUGUUGGGUUAAGUCCCGCAACGAGCGCAACCCUCGCCUUUAGUUGCCAUCAUUUAGUUGGGUACUCUAAAGGAACCGCCGGUGAUAAGCCGGAGGAAGGUGGGGAUGACGUCAAGUCCUCAUGGCCCUUACGCGUUGGGCUACACACGUGCUACAAUGGCGACUACAGUGGGCAGCGACCAUGCGAGUGGAAGCUAAUCUCCAAAAGUCGUCUCAGUUCGGAUUGUUCUCUGCAACUCGAGAGCAUGAAGGCGGAAUCGCUAGUAAUCGCGGAUCAGCAUGCCGCGGCGAAUACGUUCCCAGGCCUUGUACACACCGCCCGUCACACCAUGGGAGUUGGUUUCACCCGAAGGCAGUGCGCUAACCGCAAGGAGGCAGCUGACCACGGUGGGAUCAGCGACUGGGGUGAAGUCGUAACAAGGUAGCCGUAGGGGAACCUGCGGCUGGAUCACCUCCUGAAGCUUGGAUCCCGGG